UGAGGAAUAUUGGUCAAUGGGCGAGAGCCUGAACCAGCCAAGUCGCGUGAGGGAAGACGGCCCUACGGUUGUAAACCUCUUUUGUCAGGGAGCAAGAACAGGCACGCGUGCCU
rnacentral:rRNA from 1 species